UACUAAUGGCAGCUACCACAUUUGCCUUUACCUCCUUUCCACGGUGCAACAGGACCAGAGAUCCCAAAACCUUUUGAUCCAGGACAUGAUAAUACCUCUGCUCCAACGACGAGUUCACCUACAACUCCAAACUCAUCCGUAAUAGUAUCCAGAGGUUCUAUAGCAACUACAAAGAUUUUCAAAAGCAAUAGUUGGUUUCUACCGGGAUUACUGAUUUCCCUUCUUGUCUUCAUUCACACAUAGUGUUACAGGCAUCAUAUACAGAAUACUACUCAUUUAGAUGUUCUCACUUUCAACGAUUAAACAAAUAUGUAAUUGCCUGCACCAAGUAUAUGAAGAAAAUAAGUCACCUAUUUUUUAGGCAUAAAUGUGUGGUUCUGAUAGCAACCUCCAUCUUAAGUGAGACGGCACAAACAGUUUUAACUUUGUUGGUAGAAGCAAAGCGUUCUAUCCUUAUUGGAGCAAUAUUCAAAUUCAAAACCUAGUAAGUUUUGGUUUUA